AGAGUUUGAUCCUGGCUCAGGAUGAACGCUAGCGGCAGGCUUAACACAUGCAAGUCGAGGGGCAGCAUAAUGGAUAGCAAUAUCUAUGGUGGCGACCGGCGCACGGGUGCGUAACGCGUAUGCAACCUACCUUUAACAGGGGGAUAACACUGAGAAAUUGGUACUAAUACCCCAUAAUAUCAUAGAAGGCAUCUUUUAUGGUUGAAAAUUCCGAUGGUUAGAGAUGGGCAUGCGUUGUAUUAGCUAGUUGGUGGGGUAACGGCUCACCAAGGCGACGAUACAUAGGGGGACUGAGAGGUUAACCCCCCACACUGGUACUGAGACACGGACCAGACUCCUACGGGAGGCAGCAGUGAGGAAUAUUGGUCAAUGGACGCAAGUCUGAACCAGCCAUGCCGCGUGCAGGAAGACGGCUCUAUGAGUUGUAAACUGCUUUUGUACGAGGGUAAACGCAGAUACGUGUAUCUGCCUGAAAGUAUCGUACGAAUAAGGAUCGGCUAACUCCGUGCCAGCAGCCGCGGUAAUACGGAGGAUCCAAGCGUUAUCCGGAUUUAUUGGGUUUAAAGGGUGCGUAGGCGGUUUGAUAAGUUAGAGGUGAAAUUUCGGGGCUCAACCCUGAACGUGCCUCUAAUACUGUUGAGCUAGAGAGUAGUUGCGGUAGGCGGAAUGUAUGGUGUAGCGGUGAAAUGCUUAGAGAUCAUACAGAACACCGAUUGCGAAGGCAGCUUACCAAACUAUAUCUGACGUUGAGGCACGAAAGCGUGGGGAGCAAACAGGAUUAGAUACCCUGGUAGUCCACGCAGUAAACGAUGAUAACUCGUUGUCGGCGAUACACAGUCGGUGACUAAGCGAAAGCGAUAAGUUAUCCACCUGGGGAGUACGUUCGCAAGAAUGAAACUCAAAGGAAUUGACGGGGGCCCGCACAAGCGGAGGAACAUGUG
rnacentral:rRNA from 1 species